rnacentral:rRNA from 1 species
AUUGAACGCUGGCGGCAUGCCUUACACAUGCAAGUCGAACGGUAACAGGUCUUCGGAUGCUGACGAGUGGCGAACGGGUGAGUAAUACAUCGGAACGUGCCUAGUAGUGGGGGAUAACUACUCGAAAGAGUGGCUAAUACCGCAUGAGAUCUACGGAUGAAAGCAGGGGAUCGCAAGACCUUGUGCUACUAGAGCGGCCGAUGGCAGAUUAGGUAGUUGGUGGGAUAAAAGCUUACCAAGCCGACGAUCUGUAGCUGGUCUGAGAGGACGAUCAGCCACACUGGGACUGAGACACGGCCCAGACUCCUACGGGAGGCAGCAGGCGGGAAUUUUGGACAAUGGGCGCAGGCCUGAUCCAGCAAUGCCGCGUGCAGGAUGAAGGCCUUCGGGUUGUAAACUGCUUUUGUACGGAACGAAAAGCCCUGGGUUAAUACCCUGGGGUCAUGACGGUACCGUAAGAAUAAGCACCGGCUAACUACGUGCCAGCCGCCGCGGUAAUAC